rnacentral:misc_RNA from 1 species
AACGCACGAGACCUGCGGACCUGCGGAAGGAUCAUUACCGAGUUCAUGCCCUGAAGGGUAGAUCUCCCACCCUUGUGUAUAUUAUAUCUCUGUUGCUUUGGCAGGCCGCUGGGCUCUCAGAGCCUGGCCAUCGGCUCCCCAGCUGGUGCGCCGCCUGCCAGAGACCCCCCAAACUCUUGUUUGUCUAGUGUCGUCUGAGUACCAUUGCAAAUCGUUAAAACUUUCAGCAACGGAUCUCUA